GGGACGGUAUAAUGCAUCCUUCGGUUCUAGGAUUUCCUCCACCAGUUGGAGUUGACUUUAUACCUGUAGUUCCACAUACGUACACCUCCUGGCGACCGUCAAGUAAAGGUUGGGAAGAAAAAAGGAAGCCCGAUUGCAAAGCUUCCAAUAAAGAGCAACUGAAACCCGUUUCACUUUGGUCAGUGGAGGGAGGAAAGCUUUACCAGUAAUGGACUGCCUGGAGAUGAACUAUUGUGCUUUCCCAAACAAGAAGCAUAUUAUGAAUAAGGAAGGAAAAUAAAUGUUUUUGAAAAUA